CCUACGGGUGGCAGCAGUGGGGAAUAUUGCGCAAUGGGCGAAAGCCUGACGCAGCGACGCCGCGUGAGGGAUGAAGGUCUUCGGAUCGUAAACCUCUGUCAGCAGGGAAGAACGGUCACUGUGCUAAUCAGCAGUGAAUUGACGGUACCUGCAAAGGAAGCACCGGCUAACUCCGUGCCAGCAGCCGCGGUAAUACGGAGGGUGCGAGCGUUGAUCGGAAUUACUGGGCGGAAAGCGCGCGUAGGCGGUAUGUCAAGGCAAGGGUGAAAUCCCCGCGCUCAACGUGGGAACUGACUGUGAAUCUGGCAAACCGGAGGGUGUGAGAGGAUGGUGGAAUUCGGGGUGUAGGGGUGAAAUCCGUAGAUAUCUGGAGGAACAU
rnacentral:rRNA from 1 species